GCCCCACUAGCUCAAUUGGUAGAGCGUGAGACUCCUGGUCUCAGGGUCUUGGGUUUGAGCCCCACAUUGUGUG
rnacentral:tRNA from 1 species